GACGAACGCUGGCGGCACGCUUAACACAUGCAAGUCGAACGAGAGAAGAGAAGCUUGCUUUUCUGAUCUAGUGGCGGACGGGUGAGUAACACGUGAGCAAUCUGCCUUUCAGAGGGGGAUACCGAUUGGAAACGAUCGUUAAUACCGCAUAACAUAAUUAAACCGCAUGAUUUGAUUAUCAAAGAUUUAUCGCUGAAAGAUGAGCUCGCGUCUGAUUAGCUAGUUGGUAAGGUAACGGCUUACCAAGGCGACGAUCAGUAGCCGGACUGAGAGGUUGAUCGGCCACAUUGGGACUGAGACACGGCCCAGACUCCUACGGGAGGCAGCAGUGGGGAAUAUUGCACAAUGGAGGAAACUCUGAUGCAGCGAUGCCGCGUGAGGGAAGAAGGUUUUAGGAUUGUAAACCUCUGCCUUCAGGGACGAAAAAAGACGGUACCUGAGGAGGAAGCUCCGGCUAACUACGUG
rnacentral:rRNA from 1 species